UGGGCAACCUGCCCCUCUCUCUGGGAUAACCCCGGGAAACCGGAGCUAAUACCGGAUACUCCGGCUGGAUCGCAUGGUCCGGCCGGGAAAGGUCCGCCGGAGAGGGAUGGGCCCGCGGCCUAUCAGCUUGUUGGUGGGGUCAUGGCUCACCAAGGCGACGACGGGUAGCUGGUCUGAGAGGACGAUCAGCCACACUGGGACUGAGACACGGCCCAGACUCCUACGGGAGGCA
rnacentral:rRNA from 1 species